rnacentral:rRNA from 2 species
CGCCUCUUGCAAAUCUUGUAUAAGAGGUCCCGCCUGCCCUGUGACAUUGUUUAACGGCCGCGGUAUUAUGACCGUGCGAAGGUAGCGUAAUCACUUGUCUUUUAAUUGAAGACCUGUAUGAAAGGCAUCACGAGAGUUUACCUGUCUCUAUUUUCUAAUCAAUGAAAUUGAUUUCCCCGUGCAGAAGCGGGGAUAUAACCAUAAGACGAGAAGACCCUAUGGAGCUUUAAACACUUAAGUUACUAUCUUAUUUAUUAAUUAAUCUAAAGACUUAACCAUUCUAAUAGUAACCUAACUUAAUGUUUUCGGUUGGGGCGACCAAGGAGUAAAAGAAAACCUCCUUAUCGAUUGAGUAUUUUUACUUAAAAGUCAGAACGACAGUUCUGAUUAAUAGAAUAUCUAACGAAUAAUGACCCAGGGCUAUCCCCUGAUCAAUGAACCAAGUUACCCUAGGGAUAACAGCGCAAUCCUUUCUAAGAGUCCAUAUCGCCGAAAGGGUUUACGACCUCGAUGUUGGAUCAGGACAUCCUAAUGGUGCAACCGCUAUUAAGGGUUCGUUUGUUCAACGAUUAAUAGUCCU